rnacentral:rRNA from 1 species
AUUGAACGCUGGCGGCAGGCUUAACACAUGCAAGUCGAGCGGAGUGAUGGUGCUUGCACUAUCACUUAGCGGCGGACGGGUGAGUAAUGCUUAGGAAUCUGCCAUUUAGUGGGGGACAACAUUCCGAAAGGAAUGCUAAUACUGCAUACGUCCUACGGGAGAAAGCAGGGGAUCUUCGGACCUUGCGCUAAAUGAUGAGCCUAAGUCGGAUUAGCUAGUUGGUGGGGUAAAGGCCUACCAAGGCGACGAUCUGUAGCGGGUCUGAGAGGAUGAUCCGCCACACUGGGACGGAGACACGGCCCAGACUCCUACGGGAGGCAGCAGUGGGGAAUAUUGGACAAUGGGCGGAAGCCUGAUCCAGCCAUGCCGCGUGUGUGAAGAAGGCCUUUUGGUUGUAAAGCACUUUAAGCGAGGAGGAGGCUCUCCUAGUUAAUACCUAGGAAGAGUGGACGUUACUCGCAGAAUAAGCACCGGCUAACUCUGUGCCAGCCGCCGCCGUAAGAC